CGGUGUUAGCGUGUUUCCCCCGGAUUGUUUCUAUCAUCAUGAUCGUGUGUUCUUGGGCUGAGCGAGCACAUGCACAAGUGUGCAGCUAUAACCCUGUGUAUCUUUGGUUACACUUUGUUCUGCAAUGCAUGUACCUUGUAACAUUAUGUGCUUGCACUGCUUUGUCUGGCCUGCGUAUUUCAGGACUAUUCAGUGCAUUAGACCCAGGUUGGUUUGGUUGCCGGAUGAUCUCUUGUUGCGUCGCUCUGUGUUUUGUAUUCAUCAAUUUUUGGGCUUGAGAAUUGAGCUGUUGUGUGGUUCCCAAUAUGAAAACAUCAUGCUGGUGCUCUGUGUUUCGAUUAUCGACUGUCGGAGCAGUCAUGCAUUUAUUAGCAGAACGGUCAAUACUGUAGUCUUUUCA